rnacentral:rRNA from 1 species
ACGUAGGAGGCAAGCGUUAUCCGGAGUUACUGGGCGUAAAGCGCGUGCAGGCGGUUUUUUAAGUCACUGGUGAAAGCGCCCGGCUCAACUCGGGGAGGGCAUGUGAGACUGAAAAACUUGAGAGAGGGAGAGGCGAAUGGAAUUCCGGGUGGAGUGGUGAAAUGCGUAGAGAUCCGGAGGAACACCAGUGGCGAAGGCGAUUCGCUGGGCCUACUCUGACGCUCAGACGCGACAGCAUGGGGAGCGAACGG